AUAAUGGGUCAGCGACUUAUAUUCUGUAGCAAGGUUAACCGAAUAGGGGAGCCGAAGGGAAACCGAGUCUUAACUGGGCGUUAAGUUGCAGGGUAUAGACCCGAAACCCGGUGAUCUAGCCAUGGGCAGGUUGAAGGUUGGGUAACACUAACUGGAGGACCGAACCGACUAAUGUUGAAAAAUUAGCGGAUGACUUGUGGCUGGGGGUGAAAGGCCAAUCAAACCGGGAGAUAGCUGGUUCUCCCCGAAAGCUAUUUAGGUAGCGC
rnacentral:rRNA from 1 species